rnacentral:tRNA from 1 species
GGGGACAUAGCUCAGUUGGUAGAGUGCUUGCCUCGCAAGCACCAAGCCCUGGGUUCAAUCCCCAGCACCA